rnacentral:rRNA from 1 species
UACAGAGGUCUCAAGCGUUGUUCGGAUUCAUUGGGCGUAAAGGGUGCGUAGGCGGCGCGGUAAGUCGGGUGUGAAAUCUCGGAGCUUAACUCCGAAACUGCAUUCGAUACUGCCGUGCUUGAGGACGGUAGAGGCGUGUGGAAUUCCGGGUGUAGUGGUGAAAUGCGUAGAGAUCCGGAGGAACACCAGUGGCGAAGGCGACACGCUGGGCCGUACCUGACACUGAUGCGCGACAGCAUGGGGAGCAAACAGG